CCAAAGGAACCAGAGCAGUUGAGAAAACUGUUUAUUGGUGGUCUGAGCUUUGAAACUACAGAUGAUAGUUUACGAGAACAUUUUGAGAAAUGGGGCACACUCACAGAUUGUGUGGAUUCUGUAAAGCCUGGUGCCCAUCUAACAGUGAAGAAAAUUUUUGUUGGUGGUAUUAAAGAAGAUACAGAAGAAUAUAAUUUGAGAGACUACUUUGAAAAGUAUGGCAAGAUUGAAACCAUAGAAGUUAUGGAAGACAGGCAGAGUGGAAAAAAGAGAGGAUUUGCUUUUGUAACUUUUGAUGAUCAUGAUACAGUUGAUAAAAUUGUUGUUCAGAAAUACCACACUAUUAAUGGGCAUAAUUGUG
rnacentral:lncRNA from 1 species